rnacentral:rRNA from 1 species
CCCGCAACGAGCGCAACCCUUAUCCUUUGUUGCCAGCGGUUAGGCCGGGAACUCACAGGAGACUGCCAGUGAUAAACUGGAGGAAGGUGGGGAUGACGUCAAGUCAUCAUGGCCCUUACGACCAGGGCUACACACGUGCUACAAUGGCGCAUACAAAGAGAAGCGACCUCGCGAGAGCAAGCGGACCUCAUAAAGUGCGUCGUAGUCCGGAUUGGAGUCUGCAACUCGACUCCAUGAAGUCGGAAUCGCUAGUAAUCGUGAAUCAAAAUGUCACGGUGAAUACGUU